AGUGAACGCUGGCGGUAGGCCUAACACAUGCAAGUCGAACGGCAGCACAGUAAGAGCUUGCUCUUACGGGUGGCGAGUGGCGGACGGGUGAGGAAUACAUCGGAAUCUACUUUUUCGUGGGGGAUAACGUAGGGAAACUUACGCUAAUACCGCAUACGACCUACGGGUGAAAGCAGGGGAUCUUCGGACCUUGCGCGAUUGAAUGAGCCGAUGUCGGAUUAGCUAGUUGGCGGGGUAAAGGCCCACCAAGGCGACGAUCCGUAGCUGGUCUGAGAGGAUGAUCAGCCACACUGGAACUGAGACACGGUCCAGACUCCUACGGGGGGCAGCAGUGGGGAAUAUUGGACAAUGGGCGCAAGCCUGAUCCAGCCAUACCGCGUGAGUGAAGAAGGCCUUCGGGUUGUAAAGCCCUUUUGUUGGGAAAGAAAAGCAGCAGGUUUAUACCCCGCUGUUCUGACGGUACCCAAAGAAUAAGCACCGGCUAACUUCGUG
rnacentral:rRNA from 1 species